GAUAAUGAGGGAAAUAAGGGGAAGGGUCAAGUAAAGGAACAUGUAUAAAGGAAGCAUGGACAAAGACAACCAGGGUGGGGGUCCAUAGGGCAGGGGAGAGAAAUGGGGGGAAAUGAGGACAACUGUAACUGAACAACAAUUAAGAACAACAACAACAAAAAAGAUUUGAGCCAGGCUGACUGAGCUGUUCCUGUUACUGGACCCUUUCUCCAUAGACCAGUCUUCCCACUCAACUUUUUCAGAAAACCUGUCCAGGGAGCUGAUUCACACCAGUGGAACUGUGCCUGAUUAAAUCUUAGGCAGAAAGCACAGCUCUGUCUACCUCUGACUUCUUCAAAGAACCAAUCCUCCUGCGAAAGAGCCCUGCUGUUACCUGGAUACAAAGCUCUCCAGGCCAUGGACAGUGUGAGAUGUAAGCAGAUGAGGGCCAAAACCGCACAGUCAUUUUUAAGAGGCAGUUUUGUCUUUCAGGAUAACAACCUGACUGAAAUUAUUAACACGGAAAUUCAAAAAAUAUAUCUGUGGGAAAUUAGUACCCCCCAAAACGAAAAACAAAAUACAGACAUGCAAGGAUUCCAGAUUAUGAUGUCCUUGGUUUGGGGAAAUUGCCGCAGGGCUUUGAAGGGAUAUGUUUUAGAUGGUGCAAGCUCUUCAUGAAUGAGCUCCUGGAAUAAAAAUCCAGCUACCCUAGAAUGGAUGACUAAAUGGAUGGAUAUGUUUGUUCUUCCCAAAGAUCUGUUCACCAGGGAAACCACAGCUGCCCCCAUCAAUCAAGACACAGGCAUUUAUAAAACACCCCACAAUGUGCUGAAUAUUGCAAGAGACACUUGAAGCAUGUCCCCUCCCCCUAAGAGGAUAAUUUCCACUCCUCUCUAAGGGACAGGAAGCCUUCAGUGUCUGGUUUGAGCUUUUGAUCACUUAGACCCACUGACCUCUGGCUCUGCCCUGGUUUUCAAAAGGAGUUGUUGGCCCAGUGGAUUUUGAUAUUCCAAAUUCUCUAAA